AUCUGAUUAGAGGUAUGGGAUCAAAUUCAGGUCCUCUGCAAGAGUAGUGGGCUCUCUUAAUCUUUAAACCAUUUUUCCAGAGCUGAUAUAAAUUGUUUUAAAUAUUAUUUAAUUAUGUUACAUAAUAAGUGUACAUGUGGUGUCACUGGAUUUAGAUACAGGAUUGUCUGCUUUUUGCUGAGCACACAACAUAGAGACCACUGCUAGAUGUGUGUGUGUGUGUGUGUGUGUGUGUGUGUGUGUGUGUGGUGAUGGGUUGCUUAUUUGAGAGAGAUCACAAUUAUCACACAGACACACAGUGCUUCCUGAUGCAUCUUGUCUUUAAACAAACCCAGUUCUUUAAGAUUUCAUCUUGUCAUAGGGAUUCAGAUAGUAAAAGUGUUAUAUAAAUCAAUGCAAUUUGCUUAUUCAAAUAGGUUUGAGUGUACAGUAUAUCAAAUUGUCUAACUCCUUCAAGUUUUCCCCCUUUUGUUUUAUAUAUACAUAUAAAACAACCAGGAAUAUCUACAUUCAGCCACAAUAGUCAAAGAACUCUCUGUGCAAUUUAAUGUUGGAAAUCAAUACUGUAUGUCUCUGGCUGAAUGAGAAGGUGGAAAUGAAGACUCUCAUUGCUCCAGGUGGACUGCUGGUACCAUGCUUCUCCACCACCAGAAUCCAGUCUCUUCAGCCUCCUGACGUGGUCUGAAAACCAUUCUCUGAGAAUCCUCCAGGCUUUCGGCACCAGAAUGGAACUGCUGAGGCCCUCAGUCUCAUGGACUGAGCAGCACCAGGGGGAAGAACUUACCAGAAUUCCACUGCUCACACAAGAUACAAGACGUCUAAGCUUUCUUUGACUCCUGCCCCAAAUCUGAGUAAUUUUCUCAUCUUCGUUCUACAAAGGGGAAACAUAAGUUGAGGAAGAUAAAAUUCCCACAGCUGGUAGUGGGAAAUGUGGGUUUUAAAUACCAUUCUGUCUGCCUCCCCAAACCAUUGAUGGUGCUCUCUGAGGUCCACAUGAAGCGUCACUCACUGCUAUCUGCUUUGGAUGAGAGAAGCACAUAACAUUCCUUCUAGCACCUCAACUUGUGGUUAAGGAGAGUAACUAAAAAAAAAAAAGCACAAUUUAGGUUAAAUUAUUAUGCUAUUAAUAGAUCAGCACACACACUACAAAACAGAUACCACACUGUUGUCAUAAAUAUACAUAUUGAGGAAAAAAGUCAGUAGCUAGGUCUCCUGAGUAGGAGGGAGAAUGGAGACCGGUCUAUACUGAUGACAUCAACUUAGCCACCAGCUCCCUUGUCACCCAGAUGCCAAACUCCAGAUUCUUGUAGCAAGUUAGACUUGAGCAACCUACCACCAUCUGGUGAGGUCAUUGUCUGGUGACCUUGAGGUAGCCACCUCUGAGAUGGAAGUUCUCCAGAAUCUGCUUUGUGACACAGCUCCCCUUCCCCCUGCCCCUCCUCUCCCGCCAUGCCCAGUGCUUCUUUCAGACAGGUGGGCUAUGCAACAAGAGUGAUUUUCUUCACAAGUGUCUGUUGAUGUGUGGUCUAACAGGAGGGAUGAUUGCACAUGUAAAUGCAUACCAUAGUGAGGAAAGCUUUGAAACAAAGAGCACGCCUCGUGGAUAGCAUCGCUGAGCUUAAAAGCCAUCCAGAUGGACUUUUUGACUUCUUUGUACACCAACCUUCCCUUUUUGUUCUUGGAGAAUCACCAGAGAGAUUUUUAUAAGCCUUCACAUUAGAAACAAGGCUCAGAAAAUUGCUAUAUUGUGUCUUAAAGAACGGUGUGUGCCUCUAUUAAACCCUGACUGCUCUACACAGUGGUGAAGAUGGAAAAGAAUGACCAUGCCUGGAACACUUUCAUUCUGCUGUGUCUAUUCUGUGCAGGGCAGCUGUUCAGAUGCCUUCCUCAAAGGGUGCUGGGGCAGCUGUUUCUCAGAGACACAGCCUAGGGGCAAUCCCCAGCUCCUCACGCCAGCACUGCCUCCCACGUUGCAAGCCGUUUGUCCUCUCUGCUCUGUCUAUACACAGGAUUGCUGCUUAUCUGAACUGUAUUCAGGAUGCAAUACAACAUACCCAUUCUCUCCAGGAGCACCACAUUCCAUUGUAAAAGAUUUCCUAGGCCUCUCACCUGCCUUUCCUCACAGUUUCCAUAGCAACGUUGGCUCUGAUGGCACCUCGGGUGCUGGUGCUAUCAUGGAGGCCAUUUCUUCUCAUCAUUAUUGCUGCUUGUUCCAUCAACAUUAUUUUGACUGUCAGUCCGUUAUCCUGAUCCUAAACAUCUGGCCUUCAGGGAAUGUUUCUUCAAAAUCAUUGAAAAGCAAAAAUAAAGAAAAAAGAGAGCACAGUUAUCAACUGAUUAUCAG